CUACGGGCCGCUGCAGUGGGGAAUAUUGCACAAUGGGCGCAAGCCUGAUGCAGCCAUGCCGCGUGUAUGAAGAAGGCCUUCGGGUUGUAAAGUACUUUCAGCGGGGAGGAAGGGAGUAAAGUUAAUACCUUUGCUCAUUGACGUUACCCGCAGAAGAAGCACCGGCUAACUCCGUGCCAGCAGCCGCGGUAAUACGGAGGGGGCAAGCGUUAAUCGGAAUUACUGGGCGUAAAGCGCACGCAGGCGGUUUGUUAAGUCAGAUGUGAAAUCCCCGGGCUCAACCUGGGAACUGCAUCUGAACUGGCAUGCUUGAGUCUCGUAGAGGGGGGUAGAAUUCCAGGUGUAGCGGUGAAAUGCGUAGAGAUCUGGAGGAAUACCGGUGGCGAAGGCGGCCCCCUGGACGAAGACUGACGCUCAGGUGCGAAAGCGUGGGGAGCAAACAGGAUUAGAUACCCGCGUAGUC
rnacentral:rRNA from 1 species